GCCGGUGUGGCUCAGUGGUUGAGCGUCCACCUGUGAGCCAGGAGGUCCCGGGUUCGAUUCCCGGUCAGGGCA
rnacentral:tRNA from 1 species